CCCUUAGAUGUUCUGGGCGGCCCGCGCACUACAAUGGCGUGUGCAGCGAGUGCCGAAGUAGAGUUUUCCGAGGUAUUCUUGCAAUGCUCGUUUUGAUGGGGAUAGACCCUUGCAACUGUUGGUUUUGAACGAGGAAUUCCUUGUAAGCAUGGUUUAUCAUCCGACGCUGAAUGCGUCCCUGCCCUUUGUACACACCGCCCGUCGCUCCUACCGAUUGAGUGCUCCGGUGAACAAUUUGGACUGCUUUGAUUCGAUUAGAAUUUGAAGCGGAAAGUUUAGUGAACCUUAUCACUUAGAGGAAGGAGAAGUCGUAACA
rnacentral:rRNA from 1 species